GUCUUGGGUUCUGGUUCUGGUGGUUCUGGUAGUUCACUGCCUGAUAGUUCAGGCAGUGAAACAUCCACAUCAGUCACUGCCUGUGAGACGUUUGUCCACGUCUCUGUCAGAAGAUCCUGGAGUUUCUCUCUGAGCUCUGACACAGCUGCUGUCACCUCCUCAAAGUAUCUCUGAGGACGGAUGUUGAUUCUGGAUGAGUCUGCAGGUUGACCCGGUUCUGACAGUGAGGGGUAGCUAUGCAGAAACUGGUUGUGGUCCUCUGUGAGUGAGAGCUUCUGC